CAACCAAUUCUAGGCUGAUAUCAGGCAAAAAGAAAUGGAACAAUCAUGAAUACAAUGAUGCUUUAAAAGAUGCAAAAAGCUAUGCACCAUUAGGAAAUGAUGACAGAGGUGAAUCCAGGAAAUACCACAAAUAAAUGGGUAGGUUCCUUUUGAGAAGGAAUAAGCGGAGUCUGAGACAGAAACCUAAGUCCAGCCAGAUGGGAAGCACUGAGGCACAGGGGCUCCCUGGUUGUCAUUCACCUCCUCUCCAGUUUUCCAGGGGAGGUCGCUAUAAGGACUGUCACUUUAGAUCAAAAGACAUACUCAUGCCAACUAACCAAGAUUCCUAAAUCUAAUCACACCCUUCCCCAAGGCCAGAAACACA